AUACUUACCUAGAUAGGUCAAUGGAUUAUCAAGAAGAUUCAUGGUUUAUGAAAGUAACUUUCAUUGCAAUUUGGAUGGAUGCGUUUCUGAUUUUGUCAAUCUUCAUAUAAUUUGUGACCGAUGAAGUCUGAACUUUUGAAAGUUUCACUUUCAUU
rnacentral:snRNA from 13 species